rnacentral:rRNA from 1 species
UAACAAGGUUUCCGUAGGUGAACCUGCGGAAGGAUCAUUACCGAGUCAAGGGUUUUCUCCCUCCCCCCCCCCUUCCUUUUCUGUCGGGGGGGCGGGGGGGACCUGAUCUCUUCUUCACUGUGUUGCAUCGGACCCUGUUGCUUCAGCGGGUGGGAGAGAGAGAGUGUGUGAUGCCGUGCCUAGCUAGCUAGCUCAGCCGGCCGCUUCUCUCUCCACCGCCAAUACCCGCUGGAGACUCGUUGAAAUACCAAUAUCGUCAGCAAGAGAGACUGUCUGAGUGGAAAAGCCAAUAAUUGCAGUUAAGAAAACUUUCAACAAUGGAUCUCUUGGUUCCGGCAUCGAUGAAGAACGCAGCAAAAUGCGAUAAGUAAUGUGAAUUGCAGAAUUCCGUGAAUCAUCGAAUCUUUGAACGCAUAUUGCGCCCUCCGGUAUUCCGGAGGGCAUGCCUGUCCGAGUGUCAUUGCCUUCCCUCCAAAGCCCCUCUUGGCUUUGGAUGUUGGGCCGUUUUGUCCCCUUGCUUCUCCGGGGGGACAGGCCUGAAAGACAGUGGCGAUGCCGUAGUCAACCCCCGAGCGUAUGGGUGUCUUCCGCUCUCUAGGCUUGAUUGGCAUCCGCCGUCCUCCUGCACUGCAGUGUUUGACUCCAGUGGACCUCGGAUCAGGUAAGGAUACCCGCUGAACUUAAGCAUAUCAAUAAGCGGAGGAAAAGAAACCAACCGGGAUUGCCUCAGUAACGGCGAGUGAAGCGGCAAGAGCUCAAAUUUGAAAUCUGGCCCUCUGGCAGGGCUCGAGUUGUAAUUUGGAGAGGAUGCUUCGGGCUUCGUCCCGGCGUAAGUGCCCUGGAACGGGUCGUCAGAGAGGGUGAGAAUCCCGUCUGCGGCCGGUGACGAUACCUGUGUGAAGCUCCUUCGACGAGUCGAGUUGUUUGGGAAUGCAGCUCUAAGUGGGUGGUAAAUUCCAUCUAAAGCUAAAUAUGGGCCGGAGACCGAUAGCGCACAAGUAGAGUGAUCGAAAGAUGAAAAGCACUUUGAAAAGAGAGUCAAAUAGUACGUGAAAUUGUUGAAAGGGAAGCGCUUGCGAUCAGACUCACCGGGGGGGGCUCAGCCGGCACGUGUGUCGGUGCAUUUCUGCCCCGGUGGGCCAGCGUCGGUCCGGGUGGCCUGUCAAAGACCCUUGGAAGGUAGCGCCCCUUUGGGGGCGUCUUAUAGCCAAGGGUGCCAUGGGGUCAGCCCGGACCGAGGACCGCGCUUCGGCUUGGAUGCUGGCGUAAUGGUCGCAAGCGGCCCGUCUUGAAACACGGACCAAGGAGUCUAACAUCUACGCGAGUGUUCGGGUGUCAACCCCGUCCGCGCAGUGAAAGCGAAUGGAGGUGGGAGCCCCUUCUCCGGGGCGCACCAUCGACCGAUCCUGAUGUCUUCGGAUGGAUUUGAGUAGGAGCGUAGCUGUUGGGACCCGAAAGAUGGUGAACUAUGCCUGAAUAGGGCGAAGCCAGAGGAAACUCUGGUGGAGGCUCGCAGCGGUUCUGACGUGCAAAUCGAUCGUCGAAUUUGGGUAUAGGGGCGAAAGACUAAUCGAACCAUCUGGUAGCUGGUUCCUGCCGAAGUUUCCCUCAGGAUAGCAGUAACGAGAUCAGUUUUAUGAGGUAAAGCGAAUGAUUAGAGGCCUUGGGGUUGAAACAACCUUAACCUAUUCUCAAACUUUAAAUAUGUAAGAAGCCCUUGUUGCUUCGUUGAACGUGGGCAUUAGAAUGGAUCGUUACUAGUGGGCCAUUUUUGGUAAGCAGAACUGGCGAUGCGGGAUGAACCGAACGCGAGGUUAAGGUGCCGGAAUGCACGCUCAUCAGACACCACAAAAGGUGUUA